AGGCUCCGGGUGCAGAUACCUGGCGGGACCCAGUUAAGUGGGUACACUAUUCUAAAAUACUAUGACAAAUAUACAGGGAGGAUAACAGAGCAGUCCAAGUAAUAUAACAUGCUGUAGUGGUUAUAUUGUUUGGAUUGUUUUUUUUAAUAAGUGUCUUAUAUAAAAAAAAACAACAGAGAAAGAACUCCUAGGUGCACAACCUAAUUAAAUGUGAUCCGCACACCUAGGUAGACGUGUAUUAAUGUAGUAUCCUAGUUAGGGAUAGGUGAACGUUGUGUGACAAAGAGAGCUCAGUGAAAAGGGCUCCUGUUACAAUCGACCACUGUCAAAUUUUACUCAACCUUCCGAGGUCAAUAACUGGAAUACCAAUAGGUUGGUUAAAAGUAAAAUAAAAACUUUGAAAUCUCAGGACAUACUUGCACACUAAGAAAUUAGAGGAAUGCUAAAUUUAUCUUUCCCGGAUAAAUACUUUUAUAUUUUUUGGAAAAAUAAACAAAUUAUCGCCCAUGUCCUUAACUGAAAAACCCUAACUUUGUACAUUAGUACAGUUUAAAGCGGUGCCCAUCGAACGCUUACACAAUGACAGUUGGCACAGUCCUGAACCUUGCUGGCAAUCUAUCCACUAACCAACAGCAGAGAAACUGGUCACACAGUUGUCAGCAGUUUUCAUAAAAAACAGUAGUCCGCUCUAGGUUAAUUUUAAAAAAGAGGUAAGAGGGGACGUGGUGUGGGGUGGUGGUG